rnacentral:misc_RNA from 1 species
UACGUAGGUGGCAAGCGUUGUCCGGAAUUACUGGGCGUAAAGCGCGCGUAGGCGGUCAUGUCAGUCGGGUGUGAAAUCCCCGGGCUUAACCUGGGAAUGGCAUUCGAUACUACAUGGCUGGAGUCUGGUAGAGGGAAGCGGAAUUCCGGGUGUAGCGGUGAAAUGCGUAGAUAUCCGGAGGAACACCAGUGGCGAAGGCGGCUUCCUGGACCAAGACUGACGCUGAGGCGCGAAAGCGUGGGGAGCAAACAGG